AAAUGUAAACGCUACAUAAAAAUAAAUAGGAGCUUUGUCUUAAAUCCAUCACAUUAGUCUCUACUGGACUCAGUCAGAGCAUUUCCAUAGAGCCACUUUGCAUCAGCAGCUCCAUGCUCCAGCGCUCUGGGAGAGUUUAUAGUCCUGACAGUUGAACACUGGAUGACUGACAGCUGUCCUUCAUCACAGCAGAAGACACAGAAAUCCUCCUCAUCAUCAGAAACAUGACUUUGAUCUGCGUCCUCAUCUGGACUCUCCUCUGCUGCUGCUUCACAGAGGUCAGAGGUCAGUACACAGUGACUCAGCCUGCAGCAGUGAGAGCUGAUAUUGGAGGAUCUGUCAACAUCAACUGUAGAACCAGUCAGAAUGUUUAUGUUUCUGGCAGCUCCCAUCGUUUAGCCUGGUACCAACAGAAAGAUGGACAAACUCCUAAGCUCCUCAUUGAUCGUACCAGCACUCGAGCAUCAGGGACUCCAAGUCGUUUUUCAGGCAGUGGAUCAAACUCUGACUUCACUCUGACCAUCAGUGGAGUUCAGGCUGAAGAUGCUGCAGUUUAUUACUGCCAGAGUCUUCAUUACCCCAACAGCCAGUGGGUGUUCACACAGUGAAAAACAGUCAUACAAAAACCUCCCUCAGUCAGAAUGAACUGAAACUGAACUGCAGCUGCAGAGACUGAUUGUGUUACCUCAAGAAAUAAAAGCCAUGCUAAACUAAAAUAAACACUGUAGG